rnacentral:rRNA from 1 species
GGAAGAGCCCAAACCAACAAGCUUGCUUGUUGGGGUUGUAGGACACUCUAUACGGAGUUACAAAGGACGACAUUAGACGAAUCAUCUGGAAAGAUGAAUCAAAGAAGGUAAUAAUCCUGUAGUCGAAAAUGUUGUCUCUCUUGAGUGGAUCCUGAGUACGACGGAGCACGUGAAAUUCCGUCGGAAUCUGGGAGGACCAUCUCCUAAGGCUAAAUACUCUCUAGUGACCGAUAGUGAACCAGUACCGUGAGGGAAAGGUGAAAAGCACCCCGGAAGGGGAGUGAAAUAGAACCUGAAACCGUGUGCUUACAAGUAGUCAGAGCCCGUUAAUGGGUGAUGGCGUGCCUUUUGUAGAAUGAACCGGCGAGUUACGAUUUGAUGCAAGGUUAAGCAGUAAAUGUGGAGCCGUAGCGAAAGCGAGUCUGAAUAGGGCGUUUAGUAUUUGGUCGUAGACCCGAAACCAGGUGAUCUACCCUUGGUCAGGUUGAAGUUCAGGUAACACUGAAUGGAGGACCGAACCGACUUACGUUGAAAAGUGAGCGGAUGAACUGAGGGUAGCGGAGAAAUUCCAAUCGAACCUGGAGAUAGCUGGUUCUCUCCGAAAUAGCUUUAGGGCUAGCCUCAAGUGAUGAUUAUUGGAGGUAGAGCACUGUUUGGACGAGGGGCCCCUCUCGGGUUACCGAAUUCAGACAAACUCCGAAUGCCAAUUAAUUUAACUUGGGAGUCAGAACAUGGGUGAUAAGGUCCGUGUUCGAAAGGGAAACAGCCCAGACCACCAGCUAAGGUCCCAAAAUAUAUGUUAAGUGGAAAAGGAUGUGGCGUUGCCCAGACAACUAGGAUGUUGGCUUAGAAGCAGCCAUCAUUUAAAGAGUGCGUAAUAGCUCACUAGUCGAGUGACACUGCGCCGAAAAUGUACCGGGGCUAAACAUAUUACCGAAGCUGUGGAUUGUCCUUUGGACAAUGGUAGGAGAGCGUUCUAAGGGCGUUGAAGCAUGAUCGUAAGGACAUGUGGAGCGCUUAGAAGUGAGAAUGCCGGUGUGAGUAGCGAAAGACGGGUGAGAAUCCCGUCCACCGAUUGACUAAGGUUUCCAGAGGAAGGCUCGUCCGCUCUGGGUUAGUCGGGUCCUAAGCUGAGGCCGACAGGCGUAGGCGAUGGAUAACAGGUUGAUAUUCCUGUACCACCUAUAAUCGUUUUAAUCGAUGGGGGGACGCAGUAGGNNNNNNNNNNNNNNNNNNNNNNNNNNNNNNNNNNNNNNNNNNNNNNNNNNNNNNNNNNNNNNNNNNNNNNNNNNNNNNNNNNNNNNNNNNNNNNNNNNNAUAGGCGAAGCGUGCGAUUGGAUUGCACGUCUAAGCAGUAAGGCUGAGUAUUAGGCAAAUCCGGUACUCGUUAAGGCUGAGCUGUGAUGGGGAGAAGACAUUGUGUCUUCGAGUCGUUGAUUUCACACUGCCGAGAAAAGCCUCUAGAUAGAAAAUAGGUGCCCGUACCGCAAACCGACACAGGUAGUCAAGAUGAGAAUUCUAAGGUGAGCGAGCGAACUCUCGUUAAGGAACUCGGCAAAAUGACCCCGUAACUUCGGGAGAAGGGGUGCUCUUUAGGGUUAACGCCCAGAAGAGCCGCAGUGAAUAGGCCCAAGCGACUGUUUAUCAAAAACACAGGUCUCUGCUAAACCGUAAGGUGAUGUAUAGGGGCUGACGCCUGCCCGGUGCUGGAAGGUUAAGAGGAGUGGUUAGCUUCUGCGAAGCUACGAAUCGAAGCCCCAGUAAACGGCGGCCGUAACUAUAACGGUCCUAAGGUAGCGAAAUUCCUUGUCGGGUAAGUUCCGACCCGCACGAAAGGCGUAACGAUUUGGGCACUGUCUCAACGAGAGACUCGGUGAAAUCAUAGUACCUGUGAAGAUGCAGGUUACCCGCGACAGGACGGAAAGACCCCGUGGAGCUUUACUGUAGCCUGAUAUUGAAAUUCGGCACAGCUUGUACAGGAUAGGUAGGAGCCUUUGAAACGUGAGCGCUAGCUUACGUGGAGGCGCUGGUGGGAUACUACCCUAGCUGUGUUGGCUUUCUAACCCGCACCACUUAUCGUGGUGGGAGACAGUGUCAGGCGGGCAGUUUGACUGGGGCGGUCGCCUCCUAAAAGGUAACGGAGGCGCUCAAAGGUUCCCUCAGAAUGGUUGGAAAUCAUUCAUAGAGUGUAAAGGCAUAAGGGAGCUUGACUGCGAGACCUACAAGUCGAGCAGGGUCGAAAGACGGACUUAGUGAUCCGGUGGUUCCGCAUGGAAGGGCCAUCGCUCAACGGAUAAAAGCUACCCCGGGGAUAACAGGCUUAUCUCCCCCAAGAGUUCACAUCGACGGGGAGGUUUGGCACCUCGAUGUCGGCUCAUCGCAUCCUGGGGCUGUAGUCGGUCCCAAGGGUUGGGCUGUUCGCCCAUUAAAGCGGUACGCGAGCUGGGUUCAGAACGUCGUGAGACAGUUCGGUCCCUAUCCGUCGUGGGCGU